UACUGCAACAGGUUGGAUGCAAUGUUAAAACAAUUGCACGAUAUUACAGAUCAGCCGACACUUCGAUAUAAGGGUUCAGGUUUUUGGUUAUGGAAAAGUGAUAAAUUCAACAGUUUACUGCUGAAAUUGGUGACAAUGAAAUCCAUUUUAGAGUUAAGUACUGAUAUCCCACUUUAGUUGUGAUUUUACAUUCACGCAGUUCUAGCUUUCAAACCCAAUUUCUACAAAACUUUUUGAGAAAUUUUAAAGCCUAGCUUCAAUUCAGUUUAGCUGCUCCUUUCCCGGAUUUUGUUCUGAAAAAAGCAUUAAAAACAAUAAAGAGAUGAAAAGGAAAAGGAGGAUAUGGAGAUUGGAGACCCACAAAAUAUAAUUCAAGUAGGAAUGAGUCCUUGUACCGUGAAUUGUGGAAGUACCCGAAAAAGUAUUUCCCCUCUGUUCAGUCUGCAGUUGCCCAACGGAACCUUUUUAAGUAAAAAAAAAAAGCUGAACCUCUGAUGAGAUCUCUUGGCCUCCAUCAGACACCAACAAAACUGAUCCACCCCUUGUUUGUCUCUUAUUGUUUCUUACUCAUACAGCUGCCUGAUGUCUCUCUUGUCUAUGCAAUCAAACAUCCCCAUAAUGCAUUAAAAGGUCAGUGCUUGUGCUUCCAUCUCAGUGCUAGUGCUUCCAUCAUUCACUUUCUUCCCCCCCCCCUCUUUUAUUUUCCCUCUUACACCCUGUUUUAUUGGUUAGAGGAAAUGAUUUCUUUGAAAAUAUUAUGUUCAUGGUUUCUAUUUUAGCAUUUGUUUGUUAUUGAUGGGUUCUCCUGCAAAUUUAGAAAGAUGCCUUUGUUUAUUCGCUAUUUCAUUCGGAGAAAUUCCCCAUGGCAGUUGCCUUGAACAGUUUGGGGUGUGAUUUGUGAUUUGUUUCCUUGUUUCACAUGUGUAUAUUGAAAUGAUGUCAAUUAUAUUUAUUAGUAAUAGUCAGAAACUGAGAAGCUGUUAUUCACUGACAAUGACCAUGGCUUGCAUCAAGCUUGUCCUAUGCUUGUUUAUUUCAGUGUACUUGUGUAGUUUUGUCCACUAUCAUGACGAAAACAACGUAACCUUGAGUGGCAUGAGAGGGGAUAUUGAAAUGUAUACAUUCAUAUGUGCUUUUCUAUACAAAUGCCAACAUCAAUCAUUGUUUUGGUACUCCUCUCACAGCUCAUUUUAUCUGGACAUACCUGUUUAUGUUUUUAGUUGUUUGCCCAUAUACAUGGAAUUUUAUUUAAUUACAGAUGAUUAUAAGAAAUGAAGUGUGUCUGAAUUGAAGGUGUGUUCCGGAAUUAAACAAAAUUCCAUGUAUAUGGCCAAACAACAAAAAACAUAAAAAGGUAUGUCCUGAUAAAAUGAGCUGUGAGAGGAGUACCAAUGAGGGGUAUUGGAAAUGAAGGACUUGUACUUUUGUUUUGAAUUCCCCACUUAAAACGGUUUCCGUCCAUUUCUAAAUCUAAUUUGAGUUUCGACAUCCAACACCUGUUCAUUGCAAAAUGGAGAUCUUAUUUGAGGUUUAGGUAUCAAUGCACUCUCUUUUAGUAAAUUUGUUGGCCAAUUUUCUAUUGAGAUAUGGGAAGUGUUGAUGUAUAACAUAUGUUUGAUCCAACAUAAAUGUUUUAAUCAGUUUUAGUUGGAAUUAGAAGUCUGUCUAAACUUUUUUCUGGUAGUUAUUCAAUCAUUUGGAGCACUUUAUAGAUGAGAAAGAAGAAAGGCUAUGUUUUGGAAGUUUGAAGUUGUGCCCCGAGGAAUGUGUUCAUUUAUCAUAAUCCAUUCCUAUUGAACAUUGUGCAAGUGCAUCUUUGUUAUUUUUGUGUGCUUUCAGAGAUCAUGGAAAAUACAUGAAUGACUGCUAGGAGGCAUGGAUAGUUUCAAGCCUUAAACGGAUUGGGGGAUUGGGCUUCCAUUUUAGCUUGUUAAGUGUACUUCUUACCAUUUACCAAUGACUUACUGGAGUUUACUGUUGGUUGUUCAUGGUUUAGGGUGUCUGAAUUCUGUAGUGGAAAAGGUUUGUAGGAGGUCAGUAGAUGUUAUUAUGAAGAACUAAACUCAGUUUCAACCCAUUGUGCUUUGAUUGUCAGUAUCUCUAUGCAUGUAUUCUCAAUAAGUAUGUUUCAGAAAUUACAGAAAAUUUUAUCGGUCCAUGUGUUAUGGAGUUCAAAUAGCAUUUGUGGUUUUGAAGGUUGAAUUCAUUUUUGUCCCAUUGGGACAUUAACUUUUUUGGAUGAUAAUGUCCAUUAACUUGGAAUUAAGGAAGAUGAUGCUCUUUUCUAUUUGAUAUUUUUUAUCAAAGAAUGUAUGGCGGUAUUCAAUAGAAGAGAGAGGUAGUCUUUAUCAUGAUGACCUCUAGAGAAGAGGAUUUUGGAGUUGAAGCAUGUUGAAGAUUUGGAUUGCUAGAUUUCUACCUUUAUAAUGAUGGAAAAACCAACUUCUAGAUUUGAGGUCAGAUAUUUUAGAGUUAGGCAAUAGAAAGGCAUUGAAGCGGAUGAGUUUAGAUUCCUUGUGAGCGUAUGGGAUUGAUUACAGGAGAUGGCUGAAGAGUUUUGUUUUUCUUUACUCUCAUUUGAAAGUUUCAACAAAGCUUGCUUUUCAAGGAUUCGUAUACUCUUAUGAACGAGAAUGUAGGAUCACAAUCCACGGGUGGAUCAGGAUUUUGUAAUGUCUGAAUUAAGUUAAAUGUUGGGGGGGGGGGGCAUAAGCUCCUCUUAGCUACUAGGAGUAACUAACCUUCAUGGAUGUGAACUUUCUUUGAGCAGUUAGUUUCUUAUGUACAUGAUUCUGAAGCAUAAUAUCCAAUUCGUAGUAUCAUGUUCAUUUUUGCUACCAAACUGUCCAAGAAAUCAAAUCCUAUUCUUUCGUUGCCUUAUGGUGAGCUUGGAUGUUCCAGGGUCAACUGCCUUCUGUAAUUACAAAUUAGCAGUAGUGGACUAGCUAUCUACACUCAUGUUAUAAUUCACUGUAACCUCUAACACCAGUCAAGCGGAUGAAAUGGUGGAUAACGGAAACUUCUAGGAUCAUUUAAGUUAAUUGCAGCAUCAAAC
rnacentral:lncRNA from 1 species